ACUGAGUGUCUGACACAUGUACAGAGCCCACAAGCUGCCAUGAGCUAUUUCUACAUGUAACUAGGUGACUACGCCUUGCAGCUUCCCCUACGUUAUAGGCUUUUUAACUUCAUUAUGUGAUCAGGCAUGUUGCCAACUUUGAAGGCCAUUCCACACAUCUGAGUGAUCUGGCUUGCCGUCCAGGUGAUUUAAGUGCCAAUCUUGAUAAAGGUCCGCAUAAGGACCGAAACGUCGAUGAAAUACGGCAUCAACAGUGAACCCGAAUAAAAAUAUAC